rnacentral:rRNA from 1 species
UGGGGAAUAUUGGGCAAUGGGCGCAAGCCUGACCCAGCCAUGCCGCGUGAGUGAUGAAGGCCUUAGGGUUGUAAAACUCUUUCGCCGGUGAAGAUAAUGACGGUAACCGGUAAAGAAGCCCCGGCUAAUUUCGUGCCAGCAGCCGCGGUAAUACGAAAGGGGCUAGCGUUGUUCGGAAUUACUGGGCGUAAAGCGCGCGUAGGCGGACCAUCAAGUUGGGGGUGAAAUCCCAGGGCUCAACCCUGGAACUGCCUCCAAAACUGAUGGUCUCGAGGAUGUGAGAGGAUAGUGGAAUUCCGAGUGUAGAGGUGAAAUUCGUAGAUAUUCGGAAGAACACCAGUGGCGAAGGCGACUGUCUGGCACAUUUCUGACGCUGAGGUGCGAAAGCGUGGGGAGCAAACAGGAUUAGAUACCCCCGUAGUCC